GAUGAACGCUGGCGGCGUGCCUAAUACAUGCAAGUCGAGCGAACGGACGAGAAGCUUGCUUCUCUGAUGUUAGCGGCGGACGGGUGAGUAACACGUGGAUAACCUACCUAUAAGACUGGGAUAACUUCGGGAAACCGGAGCUAAUACCGGAUGAUAUUUUGAACCGCAUGGUUCAAAAGUGAAAGACGGUCUUGCUGUCACUUAUAGAUGGAUCCGCGCUGCAUUAGCUAGUUGGUAAGGUAACGGCUUACCAAGGCAACGAUGCAUAGCCGACCUGAGAGGGUGAUCGGCCACACUGGAACUGAGACACGGUCCAGACUCCUACGGGAGGCAGCAGUAGGGAAUCUUCCGCAAUGGGCGAAAGCCUGACGGAGCAACGCCGCGUGAGUGAUGAAGGUCUUCGGAUCGUAAAACUCUGUUAUUUGGGAAGAACAUAUGUGUAAGUAACUGUGCACAUCUUGACGGUACCUAAUCAGAAAGCCACGGCUAACUACGUG
rnacentral:rRNA from 1 species